rnacentral:rRNA from 1 species
UACGUAGGGGGCAAGCGUUGUCCGGAUUUAUUGGGCGUAAAGAGCGUGUAGGCGGCCUGGUAGGUCCGUCGUGAAAACUCGAGGCUCAACCUCGAGAUGCCGGCGGAAACCUCCUGGCUAGAGUCCGGAAGAGGAGAGUGGAAUUCCCGGUGUAGCGGUGAAAUGCGUAGAUAUCGGAAGGAACACCAGUGGCGAAAGCGGCUCCCUGGUCCAGCACCGACGUUCAGGCACGAAAGCGUGGGGAGCAAACAGG